rnacentral:rRNA from 1 species
UACGUAGGGUGCGAGCGUUGUCCGGAAUUAUUGGGCGUAAAGAGCUCGUAGGCGGUGUGUCACGUCGUUCGUGAAAACCUGCAGCUUAACUGUGGGCGUGCGGUCGAUACGGGCAUCACUGGAGUUCGGCAGGGGAGACUGGAGUUCCUGGUGUAGCGGUGAAAUGCGCAGAUAUCAGGAGGAACACCGGUGGCGAAGGCGGGUCUCUGGGCCGAUACUGACGCUGAGGAGCGAAAGCGUGGGGAGCAAACAGG